rnacentral:lncRNA from 1 species
CAGAGAGAGAACUGAGAGAAGCAGCAGAGAAAGGACAGGGGUAGGUGAAAGAGUUGCAAAAUUAGGGUUGUAACUUGUGAUUGUUAGGUUUUAUAUUGAUUCAGAAAAAUUGGAAACUGGGCCAAGCAAAAGAAAACGUGUAAACAAUUAAAAAAAAACUGUCCAGUCGUCUACCGUACCGCGAACAGUACCGCAACAGUAUCGCUACAAUACCGAA